GUUUAAAUAGUUUAAUACAGAAUUAUAAUUUGUGGUAUUAUAGGUGAAAUUAUUUUCUUUAGACU
rnacentral:tRNA from 1 species